AUAUUUUAACUGGGGAGCCUGUAGACAGGCUGAGAGUGGAAUGUGAUUCCAGACCCUCAUAACCUGAUUUGGAUAAUGCCAACGUAGGGAGAGUAGGUAGUUCAUAUU
rnacentral:ncRNA from 2 species